CAAGGAUAUACCCUAUUUGAAGCCUCACCAUUUUUUUUUUUUUAUUCAACAAUAAUUUUCUGGUGGCUUUAUUUUAUUCAACAAUGAUUUUCUGGUGGCUUGUGGGGUAGGAUAGAUGGAAUGUAUUAGAGAAAUAGGAAACUUUUUUUAAAAAAUGGUUAAUUUUAUACAAUUCUCUGUAAACAUAGUGAAUGAUAAAUAUAUUUUUACAAAAUUUAAUUUUUAUAUAUUGUCUCACCAAAUAUCCUAAUAUUUUCAAAUAUAUUCGUCCCUUUGGUUUGUUAUCGUUUUAGAACUGUUUAUGUUUUGAAUUUUGCCAUCAUAAAUAUGUCCCUCCAAAAGGCAUUAAGUAUUUAAUCUAUGGUUAACUAAAUUUUUUUAACAGAUUCUAACGGUAGAGAUAUAUUUGAAAAUAUCGAGACUUUUGUAGGGAUAAUAUAUAAAAGCUGAACUUUAUAAAUAUCUAUUUGUCUCUCACUAUAUUUACAGAAAUCUGUAUUAAAUUAAUUCUUAAAAUAUAUUAUUUUUUC
rnacentral:lncRNA from 1 species